GCCUGGCUGGCUCAUUCAGUAGAGCAUGUGAUUCUUGAUCUCAGGGUGGUGAGUUCAAGCCCCAUGUUGGGUG
rnacentral:tRNA from 1 species